rnacentral:misc_RNA from 1 species
AAGUCGUAACAAGGUUUUUGCUAAGCAACAGUCCUCCUGUAGCAGAGCUUACCGGAGACCUUGCACCCCGAGAGGGGGGGGAGGCGACUAUAAACAAGCUUCCAGCGCAAGUCAGCACUAUCUGGCAACACAAUCGAAUUGCGGGGACGCUUUAAAGCCUACCGGUACCAACCACUCUUGACAGGGUGGGGCGAGCAUGCUCGAGGUCACAAUCUGGGUAGGAUAUAACAAUAAGCAAUCCGCAGCGGCGUAGCCGUCCACAGACUAAGUGGUUUGUGGGUAGGGGGAACCCUAUCUAAGAUAUAGUCGGGCCCUGAAGAGAGAUCUCCAGGGCUUCUACGUCCCGUAGGUGAACCUGCGGAAGGAUCAUUAAAAAAGAUCAACCCGGUUGUUAAGUCAAUGCUUGUUUGCAGGCCUUGUGGGGCUGUUUUAAACUCACAGCAAUGCCGAUUGACAAGUCACGCCUGUUAGGCCUUGUGGGGCUGUCUUAAACUCACAGUAUAUUCCAGUGAUAAAAACUUAUGCCGGGGGCCUCGCGCCCCCGGGCCGGUUGAAUCCCACCCGUGUCUAUAUACUCUUGUUGCUUUGGCAGGCCGUGGCCUCCACUGUGGGCUCUGCCUGCAUGUGCCUGCCAGAGGACCAAACUCUGAAUUUUAGUGGAUGUCUGAGUACUAUAUAAUAGUUAAAA